GGAAGUAAAAGUCGUAACAAGGUUUCCGUAGGUGAACCUGCGGAAGGAUCAUUACUGAUUUAGCGAACCGAGCGUUAGCGAGGUUUUGCGAUCAACUUGUAUUUAAAACCCACUCUUCAAUGUAUAAAAUUUGUAUUAAUGAUAAAUUAAAAGAUCACUUUCAACAACGGAUCUCUUGGCUCUCGCACCGAUGAAGAACGUAGCGAAGUGCGAUAAGUAAUGUGAAUUGCAGUAUUCCGUGAAUCAUCGAACCUUUGAACGCAUAUUGCACUUUCUGGUAUUCCGGAAAGUAUGCCUGUUUGAGGGUCAGUUAAAUAAAAAUCGGUGUUGUUGCCGCUUUCCGUGGUGACGCGUCGGAAUUGAGUCGUCUUCGGUUAAGUGACUUAAAAUUUUAUAUGAUUUUCGAACGUAUUUAAAUUUAUUUGAACGUUUGAUAUCGAAUGCUUAUUAGGUUCGGUCAUCCUCAUGACUCGCGCCUAUAAUUUUUCAUUAAAUGACCUCAAAUCAGGUAAGAAUACCCGCUGAACUUAAGCAUAUCAAUAAGCGGAGGA
rnacentral:rRNA from 1 species